ACACAAUGAAGCAGCCAUCACCAGCACUCCAACACUUAGGAUAGCAAGGCUGGCAACAGUGCUUCAGCCACUUCUGGGGUGUAGUUUAACACAGAUUCAAUGCGGGUAUUGGCAUUGAGUUCCAGAAAUGAACCAAAUGAGUCCAUUGCCUCUUCAACAUGACAGCCCUACAAACAAUGGAAAAUUGUCAUCUCUUCUUAUUCUUCUGUAACAGGCCUUUUCUUUAGGAGGCCUCUUCCAAAUUCAAGGAAAAUAAGAUACCAGUGUGAUGCUUCUGACCCACUGUGGAAAGAGUCUGCGCUCUGAGGUCCCUUCUCUCAGUGGCAGAACAACUACCUGUGACAAGGUGUUAUGGACUAAAUGUUUGUGUCCCCCCAGAAAUGCAUAUGAUGAAAUCUAAUCAUCAAUGUGACAGUGUUUGGAGGAAGGAACACUAAGGAUGGCUGCCAACAUGAGAAGCAAAGAGAAAGGCAUGGAACAGAUUCUCUCCUAGAGCCUUCAGAGCGCUGGAUUUUGGACUCCUAGCCUUCAGAACUUAAGAAUGUAAAUUUCUGUUGUUCUAAGAGGCGUGCACACACACACACAUACACACAGCUAAUCCAACUCCUUGUAUCCUAUGCUUCAAUUACUCUUAAAUGUCUCUGAUGCACCAAGUCACUAUGAUUACAUCAUCAAAGUCCUCCUCUCUGCCUCAAUUCCUUUGUAUCUCUCCCCACUAGACAAUCACUUACUAUACUAUAAUUAGUGAGUAAAAGGUUCUGGGAGCCA
rnacentral:lncRNA from 1 species